UAAAUUCUUCAGGGCAGGGUGAAAUUCCCUAUCGGCGGUAAAGUCCGCGAGCUUUGUGCAUGAUUUGGUGUAAUUCCAAAACCGACGGUUAUAGUCCGGAUGAGAGAAGAAAAUG
rfam:Peptostreptococcaceae bacterium CCRI-22567 contig-4000009, whole genome shotgun sequence.